rnacentral:lncRNA from 1 species
CGGAGACUCUGGAGAAACUGUGAAACUGAUUUACCAUCAUCACCGUGUACCCCUGUGUAGGCACCACAUUCCUGCCUUUUUCUAUCACUUUUUGAGAACUGAAAAGAAGACAGACAUUGUACACCCAGAGAUCAUUAGAUGUUUGGAAGGAUUUAUAUCUGAGCUGCCACGCCUUAGAAGAGCAGCGGAGACAAUUUACUUAUUGCUGUCCAUGAGAGUCGAUAUAUUUAAGAAGCUUUUAAUAGUAAAAUCAUUUUUUAAAAGUUUUUGAUUACUUCAUAAAUACUUUUUCAUCCUCAGCUUAAGAACACAAUCAAUCCAUUUUAGACUUACAGGAACUCGGAGACUGAACCAAGUAGUGCAGGAGCUGUGUAAGGAAAAUACACCUUUUCACCUGGAAGUUGACUAAAACUCGAUUUACAACAAAGAAGAAACACUGAAGAUGCCAGCUCGUCGUUUUGACUACCCUGAAGGAAUGGAGGAUGAGGAAAAGAAAAUAUUCAAACGUAAAACUCUGAUGAAAAACCCAGAGAUUCUCUAUGAAGACACAUAUCAAACUGGUAUAAGAUGCAACCUCAUUUUCUUCACCCAAUCUGGAGCAGACUACAGGGCUGCAAUAGAAGAUGCGUACCCUCAAUCCAAGGAUAUUCAAAUGGCCAACAAACUGAAACUUGAGCUCUCUGAUGGAGGCACUGUGUCCAUAUUUCCCAGUGGAAAGAUUUUAAUUCAAGUCUGUAGGUUUGAAGAAUUAUAGUUUUGUACCCACUGAGGUCCGUCUCAUAUCUAAAGGUCGGUUUUCCACAGAGAUGAAUGAGAUUUAAUCUUCAGCCACUCAAAUUAAGAUGUCACAACAUCAGCAUUCAGGUACAUGUCCUGCAGAUCAGUUAGGUUAAGAUAAAACAUGGGAUAUUAUUUUAUAGUUUAUUGAUUUUGCUUUGCCUUUGCUAAGUUAUAUAAAUAAAAUAUCAUGCAUACAAACGUCUAACCUGUGGACAUUCCCAUGUUUGAUGUUGAGCUACGU